rnacentral:rRNA from 1 species
GACGAACGCUGGCGGCGUGCUUAACACAUGCAAGUCGAACGAAGUGGCGAACGGGUGAGUAACGCGUAAUCAACCUGCCCUUCAGAGGGGGACACCAGUUGACACCGACUGCUAAUCCCGCAUACUGAAGGACGGGAUUGCGUCUGAUUGGCUAGUUGGGGGGGUAACGGCCCACCAAGGCGAUGAUAAGUAGCCGGGCUGGGAGGAUGAACAGCCACAUCGGGACUGAGACACGGCCCAGACUCCUACGGGAGGCAGCAGUGGGGAAUCUUCCGCAAUGGACGAAAGUCUGACGGAGCAACGCCGCGUGAGUGAUGACGGCCUUCGGGUUGUAAAGCUCUGUUAAGCGGGACGCGGUACCGGAAUAGAAAGCCACGGCUAACUACGUGCCAGCCGCCGCGGUAAUAC